GGGCCUUUGCUUCGGAAUACAUAGCAAUGAAAUAAUAGAAAUAAGGACGUGUGGUUCUUAUUUUUGUUGGUUUUCUAAGACCCGCCGUAAUAAUUAAUAAGGGAAUAAUUCGGGGGCAUCAGUAUUCAAUCGUCAGAGGUGAAAUUCUUGGAAUUGAUUGAAGACUAACUACUGCGAAAAGCAUUUGCCAAGAAUGUUUUCAUUAAUCAGUGAACGAAAGUUAGGGGAAUCGAAGACGAUCAGAUACCCGUCGUAGUCCUUAACCAAUAAACUAAUCCCGACUAGGGAUCGGACGGUGUUUAUUAUUUUUGACCCGUUUCGGCCCCUUACGAGAAAAUCAAAAGUUUUUGGGUUCUGGGGGGAGUAAGGUCGCAAGGCUGAAACUUAAAGAAAAUGACGGAAGGGCCCCCCCAGGCGGGGGACCUGCGGCUUAAUUUGACUCAACACGGGGGAAACUCACCAGGUCCAGACACAAUAAAGGAUUGACAGAUUGAGAGCUCCUUUCUUGAUUUUGUGGGUGGUGGUGCACGGCCGUUCUUAGUUGGUGGAGUGAUUUGUCUGCUUAAUUGCGAUAACGAACGAGACCUUAACCUGCUAAAUAGCCAGGCCCCGCUUUGGCGGGUCGCCGGCUUCUUAGAGGGACUAUCGGCUCAAGCCGAUGGAAGUUUGAGGCAAUAACAGGUCUGUGAUGCCCUUAGAUGUUCUGGGCCGCACGCGCGCUACACUGACAGAGCCAACGAGUUCAUUUCCUUAGCCGAAAGGUUUGGGUAAUCUUGUUAAACUCUGUCGUGCUGGGGAUAGAGCAUUGCAAUUAUUGCUCUUCAACGAGGAAUGCCUAGUAAGCGCAUGUCAUCAGCAUGCGUUGAUUCCCUCCCUCCCUUUGCACUCACCGCCCGUCAAGGCGAAUCGCGGCCGCUAAAUCAAUCGCCUAUAGAGUAGC
rnacentral:rRNA from 1 species